rnacentral:rRNA from 1 species
CACGUAGGGUGCGAGCGUUGUCCGGAAUUAUUGGGCGUAAAGAGCUCGUAGGCGGUGUGUCGCGUCGGCCGUGAAAACCUGCAGCUUAACUGUGGGCUUGCGGUCGAUACGGGCAUCACUGGAGUUCGGCAGGGGAGACUGGAAUUCCUGGUGUAGCGGUGAAAUGCGUAGAUAUCAGUCGGAACACCGGUGGCGAAGGCGGCUUCUUGGGCCGUUUCUGACGCUGAGGGCGCGAAAAGCCAG